GAAUGCGUAGUCCAAUGGUCAGGACGUCCAUGCCAUAUUUCACCCGUCACAAUCCGUUGGGGCUUCGGCACCGCGGUGGAAGACAGCUGAUAAUUAGUUUUGGCUAUGGGCGAGUGGAAGAUGCUAGUUCGAGUCUAGCCGUGCUCA